rnacentral:rRNA from 1 species
UACAGAGGGUGCGAGCGUUGUUCGGAAUUAUUGGGCGUAAAGGGCGCGUAGGCGGUGCGGUAAGUCACCUGUGAAAUCUCCUGGCUCAACUGGGAGCUUGCAGGCGAAACUGCCGUGCUGGAGUGUGGGAGAGGUGAGUGGAAUUCCUGGUGUAGCGGUGAAAUGCGCAGAUAUCAGGAGGAACACCGGUGGUGUAGACGGCUUUCUGGACCGACACUGACGCUGAGACACGAAAGCGUGGGUAGCAAACAGG